rnacentral:rRNA from 1 species
AGCAGCCGCGGUAAUUCCAGCUCCAAUAGCGUAUAUUAAAGUUGUUGCAGUUAAAAAGCUCGUAGUUGAAUUUCGGGGUCAGUAGGCUGGUCGUGCCACUGGUACGUACUGGUCUCACUGAUUCCUCCUUCCUGAAGAACCGUAAUGCCAUUAAUUUGGUGUUGCGGGGAAACAGGACUGUUACUUUGAAAAAAUUAGAGUGUUCAAAGCAGGCUUAUGUCUGAAUACAUUAGCAUGGAAUAAUAAAAUAGGACGGUGGUCCUGUUUUGUUGGUUUCUGAAUCACCGUAAUGAUUAAUAGGGAUAGUUGGGGGCAUUAGUAUUCAAUUGUCAGAGGUUAAAUUCUUGGAUUUAU